GCUUGGAAGUUACGUCACAGCUGAAACUUUCUUGAAACAACACUUGCGAACAACGACAAAUCCGACCUGAAGACGUGCAAUUUAUUCCAAAAAUUCAAAUGUUUACAUGUGGUUGUGAUCACAGCACAGAAAAGAAUGAGUGCGCAAACGACAACAACAAAUCAUUUGGAAAGACUUACUGAACCUGACAUUUUUAUUUCAGUACGUCUUCACGCGACGGCGCAUUGCUGGUGACGGCAUCACCACGCGACUCCAUUUGUGCUACGCAGUUGGUUGUUUGGAUUUGUUGGGCUAUUUGAAUUUUCUACGAGAGAUUUUGAUCUUGGUGAAUGUUUCAACGUUUUAGUCCUUCAUAUGACAGAUAGGAGAAGCAACGCCAGGAAGCCGCCAGCAUCACUUUUUAUUUGUGCCGCCCGAACCUCCGGUGUAUGUUUGGUUCGGCCCAGCUGAUGGAAUACGCAAAGGGUGCAGUUGAAGGUUCGCUGCUGGCUACCAGCAACGUCAGCAACGUUCCGGCCUUCCUCGCUAAACUGUGGACUUUGUUGGAAGACCCUGAAACUGACCCCCUCAUCUGUUGGAGCCCGACGGGAACCAGUUUCCAUGUAUACGAUCAGGGUCGGUUCUCUAAGGAGGUUCUCCCACAGUUCUUCAAACACAACAACAUGGCCAGUUUCAUCCGACAGCUCAAUAUGUAUGGCUUCCGGAAGGUGGUGCACAUCGAGCAAGGCGGUCUGUUGAAACCAGAGAAAGAUGACACAGAGUUCCAGCAUCCAUUCUUCAUCAGAGGACAAGAACAUUUACUGGAGAACAUCAAACGCAAAGUCACCAAUGUGUCUGCUGUGCGGCAAGAGGAGGUGAAGAUCUCAGCAAAUGAGGUCAGUAAGAUCCUGAAUGACGUACAAAUGAUGAAGGGAAAGCAGGAGACCAUUGACUCCAGAAUCAUCGCCAUGAAGCAUGAAAACGAGGCUCUGUGGAGGGAAAUGGCGUGUCUGAGACAGAAACACGCGCAGCAGCAGAAAGUGGUCAACAAGUUGAUUCAGUUCCUGGUAUCGCUGGUCCAGUCCAAUCGGAUCAUGGGAGUCAAGCGAAAACUCCCACUGAUGCUCAAUGAUGCCAGCAGCACCCACUCCAUGCCCAAAUACAGCCGACCCCUUUCACUGGAGCACUUGCUGUCUGCAGCCAGCACCUACUCAGCGGAAUCCUCUUUGACCUCUGGACCCAUCAUCUCUGACGUCACAGAGCUGGCCACGCCCGCAUCAGAAGAGGUGGUCAGUGACUGGAUGGAAGCUGGAAAGACUAACAUCAAGGAGGAGGAGCCUGUCAUUCCUGACAUGGUGGACAGUCCUGUCCUGGAGGAUGUGGGUACGUCUGUAGACACGCCUCUUUCUCCCACCGCCUUCAUCAACUCCAUUCUGCAAGAAAAUGACACGCAGUCUCCCCAGAACACCGUAAUGGCCAACCUGGCGGCAGGUAAGUCAUCAAGCCUACACGCUCUGCUUCUUCAUAAUCCUUUGCCGUUCUCUUUCACCUCGAUGCCUUCAGCUGCUCCUGUGGUUCUGAUGAGCACCCCCCACACCGGGCCCCUCCCACCAGUUCCAAAUGGCCAAACACCCGCCUCCAACCCAGACUUGGCUCACAAGUGUCAGACGGUUGUCUGUAUUGACAAGUCUGAAUUGUCGGAUCACGUGGAAACCAUUGACAACAGUCUAGAAAACCUGCAGAACAUCCUGAACAACCAAACCUUCACCUUUGAUACUUCUCCGCUCAUGGAGUUGAUGUACCCCUCGUGGUCCCCAGGAGACUUUGACAUCAACAGCCUGGACAGUCUUCUAUGUGACGACACCUCCAAAGGAGCCCAUCAAAGCAACACCACAGGGAAGCAGCUGGUGCAGUACACGCCUGUGCAGAUUUCUGAAGCCGUCGAUGCAGGCGAGGGCGGGGCCGACUUGCCGUCGUUACUGGAGUUGGAGGCGGAGCCUUUCCUCAAUCCUGACACGCCCACUGAUGACCAAACAGCAAAUUGAACUCUGACCUCUGACAUCAGCAAGGAGGGAUGAGACUCUUGCUGUUACUGAUCAGCAGGUCAAAGCUUAAGAUAUUGGGCGCUGCCUCCAACCGGACCUGCCCGAGGACGAGCACUCAGUGUCAGACUUUGUCAGAAUCACCGCUGGUGCUGUGGAGCUCAGAAGCCGGACGUUUUUUGCGAGACAGUGAGUACUCUCCACCUCUGUGGACGCACAGCAUGUCUGACAUGAAUGCACCUUUCCUGGCGAGACCACGCUGCUUCUGGCUCCAGCAAAUGUUUGGCGGAUAUUUCAUGUUCUCAAAAACGGCCCUGUGCAAAAAUGCCAUUGACAGAUGAAACUAUUUUUCUCCUGCUGGGAAUCACCAACUAUAAUAACAUCUGCCUGAGGUUGUUUCAUAAACAGAUAGGCAGAGGUUGGGGGAGGGCAGAGAGUGUAUGGCGUCUACAUCCACGCUCUCUGAAAGCCAGCGUUUUGAGCCAUCUUUCAGGGCUCACUUCCAAAUGCGCAAACCCUGUCAUCUGAAACUUUGGCAUGGUUCAACACCAGAAUACAACAUUUUAACUACAUUUUAUAGGUCAGAAAAGUCAUCCCUUUAAGGGAUAGUUGGGAUGUUUAGACAUGCAUAUCCAUCAACAGUGUAGGUCAGUUCAUCCGGAAAUUAUUUGCAGCGCUUCACAUUUACCACAUUUUUUGAUGUCACAGCUUUAUUCCAAAAUGGAUUAAAUACAUUUUUUUCUCUGAAAUUGUACACACAACACCCCAUAACAGCAAUGUGAAAAAAAACAUUUUUGUAAUUGCUAAUUUAUUAAAAAUAAAGAAGUGACAUGACCAUAAGUAUCCACAGCCUCUGCCCAAUACUUUGUUGAUGCCCCUUUGGCCAAUUCCAGCCAAAGCGAGCGAGACAAGGUGUGCCUUUCCACAUCGUGUCCAACCAACUGUUUACCACUCCAAUGAAGCUACUGAAACAUCUAAAGGAUGAUCAGUGGAAACAGAAUGUACUUGAGCUCCAUUUGGAGUUUCACGCCAAAGGCUGUGAUACUUGUGUGAUUAUGUGAUUAUUCACUUUUUAAUUUAUAAUACAUUUCCCACAAUUAAAAGAAAAACAUUUUUCACAUUGUCAUUAUGGGGUGUUGUGUGUAGACUUUUUGAGAAAAAUAUGCAUUGAAUCCAUCCAUCCAUUUUCCUCCGCUUAUCCGGGUCGCGGGGGCAGCAGUCUCGGUAGGGAAGCCCAGACUUCCCGGUCCCCGGCCACCUCCUCCAGCUCCACCGGGAGGACACCAAGGCGUUCCCAGGCCAGCUGUGAGACAAAAUCCCUCCAGUGUGUCCUAGGUCUGCCCCGGGGCCUUUUCGGGCUGGUCAUGCCCGGAACACCUCACCAGGGAGGCGUCCGGGAGGCAUCCAGACUAGAUGCCCGAGCCACCUCAACUGACACUUCUUGAUGUGAAGGAGGAGCGGCUUCUCAGUCUAUCUCUUAGGGUGACUCCAGCUACCCUAUGGGGAAACUCAUUUCAGCCGCCUGUAUCCGCCAUCUCAUGACCUUCAGUCAUGAGCCAAAGCUCAUGACCAUAGGUGAGGGUGGGAACAUAGAUCGACCGGUAAAUUGACAGCUUUGCCUUCCGGCUCAGCUCUCUUUUCACCACGACGGUCCGGUACAGCAACCGCAUAACUGCCAAGGCUGCGCAGAUCCGCCUGUCGACCUCACGCUCCCAGACUAAGAGUGAUUCAGAAGACCCUUCUGACUAAAGCCAAGAGGAGGAACCGUACCUCGCCCGGAUGUGAGAUACUGGGGCUUCACCCUGGAGCCAGGCCCGGGGGAAGGGCUCACAGGCGAGCGUCUGGUGGUUGGGCCUUCACCAGUGGGGCCCGGCCGGUCCCAGCCAGAAUAAGCCACACAGGAUCUCCCCCUUGUAGACCCACCACUUUGUUUUCGGCGGGCAAAUCUGAAUUGAAUCAAUUUUGGAAUAAGGCUGUGACAUAAACAAAUGUGGAAAAUAUGAAGCGCUGUGAAUACUUUCCAAAUGUCCUGUACGUCAACGGUGACAUUUGGUCCCAUCAGCCCACUGGUGCUCAGAUGGCGAUACCCUGUCCUUUGUUGUGUGUGUUCCACACUGUUUACAUGCACAGAUGGCGAUAGCCUGUCCUUUGUUGUGUGUGUGUUCCACACUGUUUACUGGCACGGAUGGCGAUAGCCUGUCCUUUGUUGUGUGUGUGUUCCACACUGUUUACUGGCACGGAUGGCGAUAGCCUGUCCUUUGUUGUGUGUGUUCCACACUGUUUACAUGCACGGAUGGCGAUAGCCUGUCCUUUGUUGUGUGUGUUCCACACUGUUUACUGGCACGGAUGGCGAUAGCCUGUCCUUUGUUGUGUGUGUUCCACACUGUUUACUGGCACGGAUGGCGAUAGCCUGUCCUUUGUUGUGUGUGUGUUCCACAGUUUACUGGCACGGAUGGCGAUAGCCUGUCCUUUGUUGUGUGUGUGUUCCACAGUUUACUGGCACGGAUGGCGAUAGCCUGUCCUUUUGUGUGUGUGUGUUCCACAGUGGAAGUGGAAGCGAGUGAGUGUGAGGUGUGAGUUUCGUGAGGAGGCAUUUUUGUCAUGUAAAUGUAUUAGUGCUUUGAAAGCAUAUUGUUUUGAGAAGCCAAACUCAUGACUUAAAUGACUCAGGAACUAACCAGAACAAUAUUCCUCAUCACUGAAAUCUGGCCAGAACUGGACACUACAGUGCUGAAGGAGAUGAUAACUUCAUGUGAAAAUAUUCCAACUAUCCUUAAAAUAUCAUUAUCAUUCAUUGUACUAAUUCUGACCAACAUCUCUGAUGUGAACACACUGGAGAGACUUACCAGCCUUGUGGAAGUCCUCAGUCACCUGUACAGCACCUGCACCAACACAUGACAUCAUCAUACACAGCACCAUAGGGUAUGGCAUCAUCAUAGGGUAUGGCAUCAUCAUAGGAUAUGAUAUUAAAGGGUAUGACAUCAUCAUAGGGUAUGAUAUCAUCAUAGGGUAUGAUAUGGGUAUGAUAUCAGGGUAUGAUAUCAUCAUAGGGUAUACAUCAUCAUAGGGUAUGACAUCAUAAGGUAUGAUAUCAUUGGGUAUGAACUAGGUUAUAACAUAAUCACAGGGAAUGCUAUCAUAGGGUACGAUAUAUAGAGCAGGGGUCAUUUCCAGUCUUAUUGGCUCCAUGCAUGGAGUUUGUUGCUGGCAAGCUUGCCUUUUGGAAGGUACCUCUUGGCAUGCCUUCUGACAGUGAGCAUUCCAGCAGAAGUCCUGAAUAGUGGGAAACCUGUACCACUGGGCCGCCGCAUACCCUUCUACCUACCCUAAAUGCUGGGAGGAAGGACACAUUCCUCAUGCGUGAUGCAAACAUUGUCACCCUGUAUAAAAACAAGGGUGACAAAAGCGACUGUAACAACUACCGAGGUAUCUCCCUCCUGAGCACUGUGGGGAAGGUCUUCACACAUGUCACCCUUGCCCGCCUGCAGACCCUCACCUCCUACAUCUGCCAAUGUGCCUUCCGUGCUGACCGGUCAAACGUGGACAUGGUAUUCUCCCUGGUCAGCUCUAAGAGAAGUGCCAGGAACAGCAGAUGUCUCUCUUUGUCGCUUUCAUCGAUCUAACAAAGGCAUUUGAUUUCGUCAGCAGGAGCGAACUUUCAGUUCCUUAAGAAGAUCGGCUGCCCCCCCACACCUGCAUACUGUCAUCACCUCUUUCCAAGACAACAUGCACAGCACACUGUGCUUCAGCGGUGCCACGUCUGGGGCUUUUCCUGUCAGCAGUGGUGUGAAAGCAGGGCUGUGUCCUUGCACCAACGCUCUUCGGCCUUUUGUUCUCCUUGCUCCUUCAAUACGCUUUUAAAGACUGCGGCGAAGGGGUGUACAUUCACACCCGAGCCGAUGGCAAGCUCUUCAACAUUGCCGCCGCCGUGCCAAGACCAAAGUGAGAGAGGUGCGAGAUGCUCUUCGCGGAUGAUGCAGCCCUAGUUUCGCAUAUGGAUCAUGGACUGCAGCAGCUCGUCAGUAGUUUCUCUGCUGCCGGCAAGGAGUUUGGGCUCACCUUCGGCCUGAAGAAAACCAAUGUCAUGGCUCACGGCACAGACCAUCCCCCAACCAUCGCCAUUGAUGGGCAUGUGCUGAACACUGUGGGAAACUUCACCCACCUUGGGUCCUCCAUCUCAAGCUCGCACACACUGGAAACAGAAGUGAGCAGCAGAAUCGCCAAGACCGCAGUAGUCAUGUCGAAACUGCACCAGAGUCUGGAAUAUCUCCAGUCUCACGGAAAAGACUAAGAUGCGUGUCUACCAAGCCUCUGUGCUUAGCACCCUCCUUUACAGCAGCGAAGCAUGGACCCCCUACGCAGGCAUGAGAAGAGACUCCACAGCUUCCACCUCAGAUGCCUACGAUGCAUUCUCUACGUCCGUUGCAGGACAAAAUCCCAGACAGGGAGAUACUACAGCGAGCAGGCAUGAAGAGAAUUGUGGCCAUCUUGAGGGGCAGACGUUUGCGCUGACUCGGCCUCGUGCGCAGGAUGGAUGCAGGUCAAAUUCCAAAGGACAUCCUGUAGGAGAACUUGUUGAGGGCACACGACCAACUGGGAGCCCCUGCCUCCGCUUCAAAAACGUCUGCCAAAGAGACAUGAAGCAGUGCAAUAUCGAUGUCUCCUACUGGGACAGCCUUGCUGAGGACCGGUCUUCCUGGCAACUAACUGAAAUCUGGCGUAAAGGUGGCUGAGGAUGCCAGAAAUGCAGCUUUGGCUAAGAGAAGGCGGAAGCAGAGUGCUAGCCACAACAAUCAACAUUCGUCUGCAAAAAAUGCAAGGGGGACUGCCACUCGAGGGUGGGACUGUUCAACCACUCCCACCGUUGCCGCUGACCUCCCAUCUCUACGGAACUCCUCCAUCGUCUCAUGAAGACAGAAGGAUGCCAGAGACAGAGGUGGUAUAGGGUAUGACAUCAUCAUAGGGUAUGAUAUAGCGUAUGACAUCAUAGGGUAUGAUGUAGAGUAUGACAUCAUCAUAGGGUAUGAUAUAGCGUAUGACAUCAUAGGGUAUGAUGUAGAGUAUGACAUCAUCAUAGGGUAUGACAUCAUCAUAAGGUAUGAUAUAGGGCAGGGGUUGGCAACCUGUACUAUGAAGAGAGCCAUUUAACAAAGGCCCACUAAAGAAAAGCCUGGAGCCACAAAACAUCGGUUUAAAACCAAAACGCUCUUCUUCGUCUUAUAAAUUCUACACCUGAAGAAAUUAUGAAUCUCCCACUGUUUUGGCUGACAAAUUUGGAGGGAAUUUUGGGGUAUCGUAGUAGUUCAGAUAAUAAACAACCAGUUGAUGGAAUACUCUUGCUAGUAUUUGUUAUAAACUUACAUAAAUGUAUGUGUCAAUUAUCUGAUUUGUUUACUCUGGCACAAUCAAGUUCCCAUGCCGCUGUUUUUAAAAUGAUCUCUAAUUCAUUUUAUAGAAAUGUCAAAUAGCUCCUGGAAAGUGAGACUUUUGUCCUCCAUGUUUAUCUGUGUGAGAGAGAACCGAAUAGCAUCCUUUCGGCUCAUCCAAUCACCAGUCAGGACUCAGCCAGGAUGCCUUCAUGGUCUCACACAAAGUUGGAUUUUUUUCUAUUUUAACUCAUUACAAAGAUGUGCAUUUUCCCCACUCGGGUGUUAAAAUAUUUGAGCUUUGCAAAGGGAGCCACAAUAAGGAGGCUGAAGAGCCACAUGCAGCUCUGGAGCCACGGGUUGCUGAUCCCUGCACUAUAUCAUACCCUAUGAUGAUGUCAUAAGCUAUAGCAUACCCUGUGAUGAUGUCAUAUGCUAUAUCAUACCCUAUGAUGAUUCAUACCGUAUAUCAUACCCUAUGAUGAUGUCAUAUGCUAUAUCAUACCCUAUGAUGAUUCAUACCGUAUAUCAUACCCUAUGAUGAUGUCAUAUGCUAUAUCAUACCCUAUGAUGAUUCAUACCGUAUAUCAUACCCUAUGAUGAUGUCAUAUGCUAUAUCAUAUCCUAUGAUAAUGUCAUACCCCAUAUUGGGGGUCGGCAACCCCCAGAGAGACGCACGCGGCUCUUUAGCGCCGUCCUAGUGGCUCCCUGGAGUUUUUUGAAAAAUGUUUGAAAAUGGAAAAAGAUGGGGAAGAGAAAUAUAUUUUUGGUUUUAAUAUGGUUUCUGUAGGAAGACAAACGACUCAAACAUUCUUAAUGUUUUCCAAUGCUGUAAAAUGUGUAGAGUAAAUAUUACAUUUCAACAUUUCUGUCAAUGAAGAUUUGCGUCAUAGCCCGCGACACACAUUUCUAUGCCCUGCUACAACAGGUGGCUGUUGUAAACAAACCGGCGGCUGUGUGAUGGGCCAUGGAUCCCAAAGGGAAAAAGAGAAAAAUAACUGAGGAUUAAAUGUUUCUUGUACCUUUCUUGGACUGAAUCUUUUGCAUUCAUUGCAUUCAUCUUACAUGCCCGAUGUUGAGAAGCUGACCAGUCAUGUCCGAAAACAGAAGUCACAUUAACGGGUAAGAACACAAUCCUGUGACACAUAUUUAGUAACAAAGUGGCUGUUUUAAAGUGAUUUCUGAUUUUCGCCAGUAUAUAUUUGGUAUGACACUUAGGGAUAUUAUUGUGUUUUGUUCCUCGGGUCGAGUGUUACAGGCAUUUGCCUUGGACAGCUAUGUAGGGUGGACUUGCAUGACCUUUGAACCAGGAAGUUCGGUGUAAAAUGUCUCGGGGCUGGAAUGUUAAAAUCCAGUUGGUUGGAAGCAACAAGUAACAUUUUCCUUCUCUGCUGAAGUCAGGUCGCCCUUCGGAGCUGAAUAACACUGACAAGUUGACACGUUGGUUCGGUAGAUAGUUCAUCUACAUCUACCUACCUAUCUACCUACCUACCUACCUACCUACCUACCUGACAAGUUAACACCAGGAUAGCUACGUUGGUUGUGUGUCAAAAGAGGACAGCUGCUGCGUUUUACCCUUGCACCGAUUUGCUUGGCAUUUGCACAGAAAUCAAACGUAAACUAUUAAUUUGAUUUUAUAUACUUCACAUUUUCAAAAGGCUUUCGUUUUAUUUUUAUAAAUGCAGGCUGCGUUUUGUUGCACUGUUUGUUGCCCAGAUUAAGGGCAGGGGGUUAUGCACGUUCGAUUUUGUUGUUUUUUCGAAUCCUCGAAAUAAAAAAAUCGGAUUUCUAUAUUGCAUUUCUUUAAUUUCAUCAAAUCAAUGGAACAUAAUUUAUCAAUAUUGUAACGGUCGAGUGGUUAGCGCGCAGACCUCACAGCUAGGAGACCUGAGUUCAAUCCCACCCUCGGCCAUCUCUGUGUGGAGUUUGCAUGUUCUCCCCAUGCAUGUAUGGUUUUCUCCGGUACUCCGGUUUCCUCCCCCAUUCCAAAAACAUGCUAGGUUAAUUGGCCACUCCAAAUUGUCUAUAGGUAUGAAUGUGGGUGGGAAUGGUUGUUGUCUAUAUGUGCCCUGGGAUUGGGUGGCAAACCAGUCCAGGGUGUACCGCACCUCACGCCCAAAGACAGCUGGGAUAGGCUCCAGCACCCCCUUGUGAGGGUAAACGGUAGAAAAUAAAUGAAUGAAUGAAGUUAAACUUGAGGCGGCAUCGUACGACAGAGUAGUCAUCGUGCGUCAUUCCCUACAGGAUACGCUGCAGGGAAAAUAAACAUUUAAUCAUGAAGUCAUUAUGUAUUUGUAGCC